CGCGUAGCUCAGUUGGAAGAGCAUUGGGCUAGUAUUCCAAAGGUCGUAGGUUCGAAUCCCACCGUGG